GAGGGAACAAGGGUAUGGCGCCUCGGUGUUGAGCUCGACGGAAGGGGUUCUGGUGGGGGUUCCUCUGGUUCGGCGAGGAGAAGAUGGGGCUCUGGCGCGAGGGUAACGUCGCGAUGGCACUGGGCUCGGUAGAAGCUAGAAGAGGGAAAGGGGAAGAGAAAGGGGCGCGGCGGUGUGGGUUAUCGCCGGUGAUUAUGGAUGAAGGGAGGGGGUGUGGUGACGCGGCUGGAACGAGAAGAGGGUUGGGUCACGGAGAGGUCGCCGGCGUAGAUGAAAAGAGG
rnacentral:lncRNA from 1 species